rnacentral:rRNA from 1 species
UAGUCAUAUGCUUGUCUCAAAGAUUAAGCCAUGCAUGUCUAAGUAUAAACGCCUUUAUACUGUGAAACUGCGAAUGGCUCAUUAAAUCAGUUAUAGUUUAUUUGAUAGUACCCCCUUUUACUACAUGGAUAACCGUGGUAAUUCUAGAGCUAAUACAUGCGAAAAAUCCCGACUUUCACGGAAGGGAUGUAUUUAUUAGAUAAAAAACCAACACCCUUCCUCCGGCUCGUCCGGGGGGAUG